CUUCCAGUAGCACCUUAGAGAUGAACUAAGUUUGUUAUUGGUAUGAGCUUUCGUGUGCAUGCACACUUUUUCAGAAAUCUGAAGAAACAAACUUAGUUGGUCUCUAAGGUGCUACUGGAAG